CCUGCGUCUAAUAUCCAAAAGGCGAAACCUAGUUUCAUUUUAAUGGUCUUCUCUCCUCUUCUUUUCGCCGCCGCCGUGAGGGUUGCGAGAUCCACGAUCACCGUAACCGCCACCGCUGCCGUAUUCUCCACCACUGUUCCUGUAGUAUCCAGCCUCGCGGCGUCUACCGCCGUUUCCGUAUCCGCCUCCACCACGGCUAUUUAUCCACUCCCACCGCCGUACCCGCCUCCGCCGCCUCUUCCAGGAGACUGAACUUCGUUCACCGUAACGUUCCGGCCAUCAAGGAUCUGACCGUUCAUGCCAUCGAUUGCAUCCCUCAUGGACUACUCCGAGGGCAACGUCUCGAAUCAUAGCCAUCUUGACCUUCCGGUCUCGCGAUCGUUGAUAACCUUCGAUUCGAUAAUGUCGCCAAAAGGAGCAAAGGCCUUGCCGAAGAAUUAGGCCAUUAGUUUUGGUGAAAACAAGAAGACGGCAGCAAAAGAUGGCGGUAGCGAGAUCGAGGCCAGACAUUGCGAGGCUUCUCCUAUCUGAUCAAAGGGAACACGAGCGGAGUUGCAGGAAAGAAAUUGGCAUCGAAAAAGAAGCAUGGUUCCAUAAGGGGCAUUGUUAUUUCCCCUUUUAUUUUAGAUUAGAUCGCAUAUUGAUUUACUUUUCUCAGAUGAUUUAGCCUCCAGGUCUUGUGAUUAGAAAAUUUUAUCGGAGUGCAAGUUGUAUUGAUCCUGUCAUGUUUCUUUAAUUAUUUAGUGUAUUUUGGAAUUACCUGAUUGAUUGAGGAAGAGCAAAGCUCUACCGAGGAAUUUUUGCAAGCAUGUUAGAGUAGGUGGAACGUGCAUAGGUUGUAUGUAUAACUGUUUUGGGAAUUGCCUGUUGUUUUGCAUGGCAGGCAAUAAUGCACGAAUUUGUGUCCUUGAGGUGUGCUUAUUCCUUUCCUAUUAUGGGCUUACAUUGGGAUUCGUUCUUUUCCUACCAUAGUAGAUAUAAAAAUUUGAUAUUGACUGAUAA